rnacentral:rRNA from 1 species
GGACUACCGGGGUAUCUAAUCCUGUUUGCUCCCCUAGCUUUCGUUCCUCAGCGUCAGUUGCGGUCCAGCGAGCCGCCUUCGCCACGGGUGUUCCUACAGAUAUCUACGCAUUUCACCGCUACACCUGUAAUUCCACUCGCCUCUCCCGCACUCUAGCACGGCAGUUUCGAAAGCAGCCUCUGAGUUAAGCCCAGAGAUUUCACUUCCGACUUACCGCACCGCCUACGAACCCUUUACGCCCAGUAAUUCCGAGCAACGCUGGCCCCCUACGUCUUACCGCGGCUGCUGGCAC